UAUGUGAUCGUCUCUCGCAUAUCAAUAAGCGGAGGAAAAGAAACUAACAAGGAUUCCCCUAGUAACGGCGAGUGAAGCGGGAAGAGCUCAAAUUUGAAAUCUUAAAGGGUUUCCCUUCACGAAUUGUAGUUUAAAGAAGUGUUUUCUGUUGAGGUUUUGGUAAAAGUUCUUUGGAAUAGGACAUCAUAGAGGGUGAGAAUCCCGUAUUUGACCUUUACUUUCAACUUUGUGAUACACUUUCAAAGAGUCGGAUUGUUUGGGAAUGCAGUCCAAAAUGGGUGGUAAAUUUCAUCUAAAGCUAAAUAUUGGCGAGAGACCGAUAGCGAACAAGUACCGUGAGGGAAAGAUGAAAAGAACUUUGAAAAGAGAGUUAAACAGUACGUGAAAUUGUCAAAAGGGAAGCGUUUGACACCAGUGUUGUUUUUCUGAAAAUCAAUUAAAGAGCUGUUUAUGCUAAGCUGUUUAGACUUUAUCAGCUAUCUGUUUAGUUUUGAGCUUUUCUUUAAUGCACUUUUCAGUUAACAAGUCAACAUCAAUUUCUUUUGCUGUAAAAAAGCUUGAGGAAGGUGGCUUGAGAUUCGUCUUAAGUGUUUAUAGCCUCUUGCCUAUGCAGUCGGAGAGAUUGAGGUCUGCAGCGUAGAUCCUUCGGGGCUAAAUGCAUUUGUGCUAAGUUAUAGCAUUUUAUAGACAACUUGUUGACUAUGAUUUGUCUUGUAGCUUACUCGCUUAUGUUAUUUUACCUACGCUUAGGAUGUUGAUCUCUCACAGUCGAGC
rnacentral:rRNA from 1 species